rnacentral:ncRNA from 2 species
AGAAGGAAUGCUAUUAAACACAUGCAGUGAUGUGCCUUGAAUGUGAGUUAUAGUUGAAGAGCUUUAGACUCACACUGUUUCUGUGAAGACAAAAUGAAAACAGGCCAACCAAACUGCAAAAGCCAGUUGCAGAAAUCUUCAAAGACUGAUAAGAAAUCAUCCUGUUUCAAAUGAAUUGCUGUCAACUUUAGAAAGAGCCAAGAGAAAAAAUAUGAAACGGCGCAGGCGUCGAGACAUUUUACGAGUACAACUGGUACGAAUAUUUGAACUGCUGGCAGAUGCUGGUGUCAUUAGUCACAG